rnacentral:rRNA from 1 species
UAGGGAAUCUUCCGCAAUGGACGCAAGUCUGACGGAGCAACGCCGCGUGAGUGAAGAAGGAUUUCGGUUCGUAAAACUCUGUUGUUAGAGAAGAACAGCGCAUAGAGUAACUGUUAUGCGUGUGACGGUAUCUAACCAGAAAGCCACGGCUAACUACGUGCCAGCAGCCGCGGUAAUACGUAGGUGGCAAGCGUUGUCCGGAUUUAUUGGGCGUAAAGCGAGCGCAGGCGGUCAAUUAAGUCUGAUGUGAAAGCCCCCGGCUCAACCGGGGAGGGUCAUUGGAAACGGGUUGACUUGAGUGCAGAAGAGGGGAGUGGAAUUCCAUGUGUAGCGGUGAAAUGCGUAGAUAUAUGGAGGAACACCAGUGGCGAAGGCGACUCUCUGGUCUGUAACUGACGCUGAGGCUCGAAAGCGUGGGUAGCAAACAGG